UAUAUAAAAUUCAAAAAACAAAUACAGUGUUCGGAGGUCUUACAUAAUGAAAUAGAUAAAUUUUGACGGAAACAUUCCUCCUAUUACCAAUACUGAUUAAAGCACUCAUUGUUGGUAUCACAUAUGAGCUACUGUAAAAGUUGACUAUAACAACUAUCCUUACAUAGUAAAAGAUGUAAUUUGGAGUACAUAAGGAAUAACUUGUCUUUACAGGCCUGCUGCAUUGAAUAGGCUAUUUAGUAAAACACACUGUCCAGCAUAACCAAAGCACUAUGUUAAAAGUUGUGCCCCAUUCUUUAAGUGUGCAGUAUCCAACCUCCCAAGUUCUUAUUUUAAUAAGCCCUAUUGUCCUUUUUACACUGUCUAGCAAUGUUCGUUGCAUUUUCAGGCAUGUUUCUCUGCUUUUUGUUUGCCUCGAGAGAUCUUUUUCAGUUGUACACUUAUUCAGCGUGACAUUGGCUACCUGUAAAGUCCCUCCAUUGUCGAAACCCCAUGCGCCUAGGAAGUUGGUUGUUUUAAUAAACCACCUCCCAGGUUUUUGUUGUCGAUACCCCAUGCGCAUGCCUUCUUGCUUUCUUCAAAAGUCACACUCACCCCAUGCCUUCUUUCCCCUCUAGAAACGUUAGUAAUCAUGCAUGACCAAAAUAGCAUAUUCCAAAACAUUGUCCAGCAUGCAUUAUAUUGCCAGCGCACAAUUCCAUGUGAGAAACUGCGUGCCUCCCAGUUUGAAUUUAAAAUGUCCUCCCAACUCUUGUAGCUCCUCUACCGAGUUUUCUCCAGCACCCAAACAUUGUGAAGCAUGCUUUCAUAUAAAAUUGCUAGAAGCAUUCGUGCAUUCCAUGACUUUGAAGAAGUGUGCUUGCAUUCAAAAAUCAAAAGAACAGCAUUGGCCUUCGUAUGCAUCUCUUCUCGAAACUGGCGUGCUCCACAUGCUAAAAGUUCCGAUGGUUUUUGUUUAAUGGUAAGAUUCUCCUCGAAAUUAAGCACUUGUACAACAUGCUGGUUGUAUAUCCAAGGAAUUGAAUGCCAUCACUUUUGUGAUCGAUUAUUGAUUUGCUUUUGUUCUUUAACAGAGGUUGUCUCGAAAAGUUGCAUCAGUGAAUGCCAUAAGCAUUGUGAUACUUUAGGUUCACUGCCCCAUGCAAACGAUCUGGGCAUUCUGUUCCUUUGUUCCCUGCUUGUGCAGAUAAUGAUAUCUCUUUCAAGGGAUUGAGUACCAUGUACUAAUACCACCCAUUGAAAUUGACAAUCAUGAUAAUUCAUCUCCACAUUACCAUUCCCUGCAUAGAAACACCAAAUAUUAGUAUAACAGAAGAUCAUCAAGAUCUUUUCCCAUAGGAUUCGACCUUGCUGAUCAGUUAAGUCCAUUCCGUUUCUCCUCCUCAUUUUGUCUUUGUUCCACUCCAUAUUUAUCUCUUUUUUGGCUUUGUUCCUUCCCCUUUUCCUCCUAAUUCCUUGCAACCUUUACUCUUAUGUAAGGACAUUGCAUCUUAUCUUCGUUAAUGAUCCUCCUUCCUUUUGAGUCCAGAUCCCAGAAACCAUGGCACUCAGUAUUUCCUUCAUCUAGAGCAUAAUUGGCAAGGUGGUCUGCUUAUGUAUUCCCUUCUUUGAAUAUGUGAGUGACCUUGAUGAUACUUUGUUCCUUCAGUCUUAAAAUCUCCUCUACAAGUUCAGUAAUAUACCAAGGAGGCUUCUAUGAUUCCUCUAUAAUGUUCUUUAAAAGCAUAGAAUCUGUCUGUAACCAUAUCUGGAAAUAAUUAAUACUUUUGCACAUCUUCAAUGCCUCUGCAAUAGCUACUACUUCUGAUACAUUGUUGGUUCCUUCAGAAAUCUCCCUUCCUUCUGCAUAUAUCAAAUCACCUACCUCAUCCCUUAUGCAGAAACCAAUUGAACUCCUCCCUGGGUUCCCUCUACAUGCUUCAUCCGUAUUCACUUUGAUCCACCCUCUUGAAGGAAAUUCCCAUAACACUUUAUCAUAUUUCAGUCGAGGUGUGUACUGCUCCAUCAUUGUCAAUAAGUCUAGCCACUUGUGAGGCACUUGUAGUCCUGGCUUUUUCAGUUGGACCAGAGCUUGCAUAGUGGAUGACACCUGGUAAAUAACUCUACUCACUGAAACUGCUUCUCCAUAUUUCAAACUGUUUCGUCUCUUCCACAGUUCUCAUACAAUGCAUGCAGGUAAAGCUUGUAAUACUUGCUUCAAUCUAGGUACAACUGUUGUUGUCCAACACUUUGUAAUUGCUUGAUAUAAUGACAACCCAUCUAAUGCAAUUCCUACUCUCCUCAAGAAGUAACUCCAAACACUUGUAGCUGCAUUGGAUCUGAAGAACAAAUGUAGUAAUGACUCCUCUUUUGGAUCAGCACAGCACCAACAUUUAAAUGGCAUGGAGUAUCCUAGUUUACGCAAUAAAUCAUCAAAUGGCAGUUUGGCUUUCCACACCAUCCACAGAAAGAAGGAUAUCUUGAAAGGUAAACCUUUUACUCAUAUCAUCUUGUAAGCUAAUCUUGGGUUGGCUCUUCUCCGCAGGUAAUCCCAUGCAGACUUUACUGUAAAAUGUCCCCUUGUUUCAAGCAUCCAAAAAGGAGUAUCUAACUGUGAACUUUCAGUUGGUGGUCUAAUAUUCUGCACAAUGUGGUGUUCCAAAUCUUCAGGCACUUGAAAAUAUAAGGCUCCCAUCUCAGUCCAAUUAUCGAACCAGAAUUGAGCCGAUCCCAUCCUCAGUUUCCAGUAGAUUUGAUGCUCAAUCAAGUCCCUACAUUCUAGCAUUUUUCUCCACACGUGGGAUCCACGCUUCCAAGUACAGUGCCUUGGAUACGUCAUGUAGGGACCUGAAGCCUAUGUCUCCCUCCUUAAAAGGCAUACAAAGCUCUUCCUCCUACAGAUAGGAGUUUGCCUUUCCAUGACUGAAGUUUGUCCAUAACCUUGGUGUUUAAUCCAUGGUAUAUGGCCGAUUUGUCUUUGUUCACCAGUUGACCAGAUGAUGAUUCAUAAGCUUUCAAAACCUCCAUGACAAGUCUCAAUGAAGUUUCAUCAGAUGAGCAGAAAAUGAUUGUAUCAUCAGCGUAUGAUAGAUAAUUUAUUUUUGGGCUCCAUUUUGGCAUUCCAAAUCCACAGAAAUACAGGUUAGUGUGUAGUGAAUUCAAUCCCCGAGAAAGUGCUUUUGCUGCUAGAAUGAAUAGAGUUGGUGACAAAGGGUCACCCUGUUUCACUCCCUUCGAUGAUUUGAAGAAACCAUUAGGAUGACCAUUUAUAAGAAUAGAGUACCAAUUGCUCCCAAUCAAAUCAAA